rnacentral:rRNA from 1 species
GACGAACGCUGGCGGCGUGCUUAACACAUGCAAGUCGAACGGAAAGGCCCUGCUUUUGUGGGGUGCUCGAGUGGCGAACGGGUGAGUAACACGUGAGUAACCUGCCCUUGACUUUGGGAUAACUUCAGGAAACUGGGGCUAAUACCGGAUAGGAGCUCCUGCUGCAUGGUGGGGGUUGGAAAGUUUCGGCGGUUGGGGAUGGACUCGCGGCUUAUCAGCUUGUUGGUGGGGUAGUGGCUUACCAAGGCUUUGACGGGUAGCCGGCCUGAGAGGGUGGACGGCCACAUUGGGACUGAGAUACGGCCCAGACUCCUACGGGAGGCAGCAGUGGGGAAUAUUGCACAAUGGGCGGAAGCCUGAUGCAGCAACGCCGCGUGCGGGAUGACGGCCUUCGGGUUGUAAACCGCUUUCGCCUGUGACGAAGCGUGAGUGACGGUAAUGGGUAAAGAAGCACCGGCUAACUACGUG